rnacentral:rRNA from 1 species
AGAGUUUGAUCAUGGCUCAGAGCGAACGCUGGCGGCAGGCUUAACACAUGCAAGUCGAGCGGGCGUAGCAAUACGUCAGCGGCAGACGGGUGAGUAACGCGUGGGAACAUACCUUUUGGUUCGGAACAACACAGGGAAACUUGUGCUAAUACCGGAUAAGCCCUUACGGGGAAAGAUUUAUCGCCGAAAGAUUGGCCCGCGUCUGAUUAGCUAGUUGGUGAGGUAACGGCUCACCAAGGCGACGAUCAGUAGCUGGUCUGAGAGGAUGAUCAGCCACAUUGGGACUGAGACACGGCCCAAACUCCUACGGGAGGCAGCAGUGGGGAAUAUUGGACAAUGGGCGCAAGCCUGAUCCAGCCAUGCCGCGUGAGUGAUGAAGGCCCUAGGGUUGUAAAGCUCUUUUGUGCGGGAAGAUAAUGACGGUACCGCAAGAAUAAGCCCCGGCUAACUUCGUGCCAGCAGCCGCGGUAAUACGAAGGGGGCUAGCGUUGCUCGGAAUCACUGGGCGUAAAGGGCGCGUAGGCGGGUCUUUAAGUCGGGGUGAAAUCCUGGAGCUCAACUCCAGAACUGCCUUUUGAUACUGAAGAUCUUGAGUUCGGGAGAGGUGAGUGGAACUGCGAGUGUAGAGGUGAAAUUCGUAGAUAUUCGCAAGAACACCAGUGGCGAAGGCGGCUCACUGGCCCGAUACUGACGCUGAGGCACGAAAGCGUGGGGAGCAAACAGGAUUAGAUACCCUAGUAGUCC